rnacentral:rRNA from 1 species
UACAUGGGGUGCAAACGUUGCUCGGAAUUAUUGGGCGUAAAGCGCGCGUAGGCGGUUACUUAAGUCGGAUGUGAAAGCCCUCGGCUUAACUGAGGAAGUGCACCCGAAACUGAGUAGCUAGAGUACGAAAGAGGGUCGCGGAAUUCCCGGUGUAGAGGUGAAAUUCGUAGAUAUCGGGAGGAACACCGGUGGCGAAGGCGGCUCUCUGGGACGGUACUGACGCUGAGACGCGAAAGCGUGGGGAGCGAACAGG